rnacentral:lncRNA from 1 species
CAUAGACUUAAUGCAACAGCAAAAUGCCUUGUUCCCUGCCUUUGCUGCAACCCAUUUGGCCUCAAGAAGCAAGGGACCUGGAAACAUAACUUUGAUGUCUAAUUGCAAUGGAACAGCACCUCAAAAAAUUGGAUAACCUAUCUGAGCAUCCUGUCCAAACCUUCAUCUUUUUGGCCUAUACUUCUGCCACAAGAUUUCUCAGAGAAAUAUCUAUAUUUAUACAUUAUCUUCUUCUGCCAAUUUAAAAUUCACUUUAAAUAAUAGUAGAAUUACAGAAGCAUUGACUAAGCCCCAUACUGUUGUACUGAAGAAUGUAACUUGUUUCAAAGAACCAAGAUGCCCUGGGAAAGUGAAGUCACCACACUUUUCCAGUUAAUGUAUUUCUGACAUGCCUCUUCUGAUUUACCCUCACACUACUAAUGCCAAUUCACUACGUUGGAGCUUGCAUGACAACCAACUUCUUCACCAUCACGUCAGGAAUUGAAAAAUCAUCAAAUGACCUCAAUAUGUUUAACAACAAGUUUUAGCAAUCUAGAAAAGCAAAUAAUGGAUCUCAGUCUCACAGUCUACAACAGUCUGGGAAAGCAUUCUACACAGGUUUUAUGCCCCAUUGAAUUAUUCUUGAAUUCUGAGUACCAUCAAAUGUGUUGUCUAGAAUCUUGUUGCAUGAUUGGAGUGGCUUGUAUCAUUAUUUUGCAUAGGUUUGUAUUUUUUGCUCAUUUCCAAAGAAAAUUAACAGCAAUAUCACCUAUAGUGCUGUAGUUCUCUUCUUCUUGGGAUCUUU